UACUGGCAGUCAACCACAGUCCAGAAGCAGAUGAUCCUUCUCCUGAUGUAUUGUCAUGUCAAUAGCAACCUAACGCUAUGUCACAAUGCCUACAUCAUUCACUUCACUCCAUCUCAUCAAAUAGGCAUCUUAUCAACUCACAUCACCACAAGGUCUCCUGUCAGUGCUUUGCCCUGGCAAAACCUAACCGGAGCCUGUGACAUGUGGUUGACAGGUUGCCGACCCCUUGCAAUCCAGAAGAGUUCUCAGAAAGGCUCGCAGUGGGGUUGAGAGCCAACAGUACACAACCAGCACAAGCGCAUGCUCUGUCUGAUGAGAACGUCUAGAAGCAGUGACACUUCAAUAGCAAGGAACACACCCCGAGCCCGGAUCUUGGUUUUUAUUUAUUUAUUUAUUUAUUUAUUUAUUUUUUAAUUUUUUUUUUCAGCGUUUAUUUUUAUU